rnacentral:rRNA from 1 species
GAAGGUAGUAAGGGCAUGCAGUGGAUGCCUAGGCGGCGAGAGGCGAAGAAGGGCGUGGCAAGCUGCGAAAAGCCCGGGGGAGCUGCAAGCGAGCGUUGAUCCCGGGAUACCCGAAUGGGGCAACCUGUGCACGUGAAAGCGUGCACGCCGAGAGGCGCGAGACCCGGGGAAGUGAAACAUCUCAGUACCCGGAGGAAAAGAAAUCAAACGAGAUUCCCUGAGUAGAGGCGAUCGAAAGGGGAGGAGCCUAAACCAGCCGAAAGGCUGGGGUUGUGGGACACAGUUAGGCUGAGUCCGCUCCGUAAUCACUCAUAGCUGAACAGUCUGGGAAGGCUGACCGAAGAGGGUGACAGUCCCGUAGGCGAAAUGAGUGAUGAAGGAGUGACUGUGAUCCCGAGUAGCGCGGGACUCGAGGAAUCCCGCGUGAAUCAGGGGGGACCACCCUCCAAGGCUAAAUACUCCUCGCCGACCGAUAGCGCAACCAGUACCGUGAGGGAAAGGUGAAAAGCCCCCCGGAAGGGGAGUGAAAGAGACCUGAAACUGCAUGCCUACAAGAAGUCGGAGCCCGCGAGGGUGACGAUGUGCCUUUUGAUUAAUGAGCCUGGGAGUUAUCGCUGCUGGCGAGGUUAAGCCGAUAAAGGCGGAGCCGGAGCGAAAGCGAGUCCGAAUAGGGCGCGAGUCAGUAGCGAUAGACCCGAAGCCGGGUGAGCUACCCAUGGGCAGGAUGAAGGUGGGGUAAAACCCACUGGAGGUCCGAACCGGUGGAUCGUGAAAAAUCCUCGGAUGACCUGUGGGUAGGAGUGAAAAGCUAACCGAACUCGGUGAUAGCUGGUUCUCCCCGAAAUGCAUUGAGGUGCAGCCUCAGGAGUUCUGUGGUGGAGGUAGAGCGCUGGUAGGGCUAGUGGGGUAACCUGCGAACCCUGUCAAACUCCGAAUGCCGCCACACGAGAUCCUGGGAGUGAGCCCGUGAGGGAUAAGCUUCACGGACGAGAGGGGAACAACCCAGACCGUCGGCUAAGGGCCCGAUAGUGUUAACUUGUAGUGAUGAAAGAGUGUAAUUGUGAAAGAAUGCGUAACAUUAUCAAGGGCCCGGAGAGGUGGCUAAGUGUGAAGAGGAAGGAUGUGGUGUGGCCCAGACAACCGGGAUGUUGGCUUAGAAGCAGCCAUCAUUUAAAGAGUGCGUAACAGCUCACCGGUCGAGCCGCACUGCGCCGAAAAUGUGCGGGGCUGAAGCCACCCCCCGAAGCCACGGAAUCUACCGUUAGGUAGAUUGGUAGGGGAGCGUUCCGCGGUAGGGAGAAGGUAGACUCGAGAGAGCUACUGGACGAAGCGGAAGUGAGAAUCCAGGCAUGAGUAUACGAGAGGAUGGUGAGAAUCCAUCCCCCCGAAAGCCUAAGGGUACCUGGGGAAGGGUCGUCCGCCCAGGGUAAGUCGGGACCUAAGGAAAACCCGAAAGGGGUAUCCGAUGGGAAACCGGUUAAUAUUCCGGUACCACCGGCUAACCGAUACUGCAAGCGGGGACGCAGGAGGCUAAGCUCCGGGGAUAAGUGGCAAAUCCCUCCAAGCGGUUAGGCGAAGAGGGCUGUAGGUAAGUCCGCAGCCUGAGCUGAGCCGUGAAGGGGAGACUCCGAAAGGGGUCAACGGAGCUGACGCCACACUGCCAAGAAAAGCCGCGUGUAGUGGUUAGCAGGUGCCCGUUCCGCAAACCGACACAGGUAGGCGGGCUGAAAAAGCUAAGGGGAGCGGGAUAACCCUUGCCAAGGAACUCGGCAAAUUGACCCCGUAACUUCGGGAGAAGGGGUGCCACGGUAGGUUGAAGUCAGGGGAAGCCGCGAGGUGGAAACUGACGGAGGCCGAGGUGGUCGCAGAGAAAUGGCCCUGGCGACUGUUUACCAAAAACACAGGUCUCUGCCAACUCGAUGAGAGGAAGUAUAGGGACUGACGCCUGCCCGGUGCCGGAAGGUUAAGGGGAGGGGUGCAAGCUCCGAACCGAAGCCCCGGUAAACGGCGGCCGUAACUAUAACGGUCCUAAGGUAGCGAAAUUCCUUGUCGGGUAAGUUCCGACCUGCAUGAAUGGCGUAACGACUGGGGCACUGUCUCGGCAGGGGACCCGGUGAAAUUUCAGUCUGGGUGAAGAUGCCCAGUACCCGCAGCUAGACGGAAAGACCCCGUGGAGCUUUACUGUAACCUGGUAUUGUGCUCUGUUGCGGCGUGUACAGGAUAGGUGGGAGGCGAAGAAGCGUGCUCGCCAGGGCACGUGGAGCCGGCGGUGGGAUACCACCCUCGUUGCAGCGGAGUUCUAACCUACGCAUGUGGAGAGCAUGCGAGGGACAGUGCCAGGUGGGCAGUUUGACUGGGGCGGUCGCCUCCUAAAGAGUAACGGAGGCGCGCAAAGCUCGGCUCAGGUGGGUUGGAAAUCCACCGUUGAGUGCAAGGGCAAAAGCCGGGCUGACUGCGAGACCGACGGGUCGAGCAGAGGGGAAACCCGGUCCUAGUGACCCGGCGACUCCGAGUGGAAGGGUCGUCGAUCAACGGACAAAAGUUACCCCGGGGAUAACAGGCUAGUCUAGCCCGAGAGUUCACAUCGACGGCUAGGCUCGGCACCUCGAUGUCGGCUCAUCCCAUCCUGGGGCUGAAGCAGGUCCCAAGGGUUAGGCUGUUCGCCUAUUAAAGGGGUACGUGAGCUGGGUUCAGACCGUCGUGAGACAGGUCGGUCCCUAUCUGCUGCGGGCGUAGGAGGCUUGAGGAGGGUCGCCCUUUGUACGAGAGGACCAGGGUGAGGGAGCCACUGGUGUACCAGCUGUACUGCCAAGUGCAUACGCUGGGUAGCUACGCUCCUGAGCGAUAACCGCUGAAAGCAUCUAAGCGGGAAGCGCGCUCCGAGAUGAGGCCUCCAUAAGGCCGGUCCGAGAAGAGGACCUAGAUAGGCUGGUGGUGGAAGCGCCGAGAGGCGUGGAGCCAACCGGUACUAAUAGGCCGAAACCUUCA